AAUAAUAAAUAUGCACUACUGGUUAAUUUCUUUCAUUUAGUGGCUUAGUGGGUACAGUAAGCAAUACUAAAUUGAAGAGCAAACAUACUAGGCUGUCGUCAAAUCAGUUAUGGCUUGUGAUCAACUUUAUCAUAUUGUCUGUUUAGUUUCUUUUUCUCCACUUUGCUUGAUCUUUGAAUGCUUAUGAAAUACCAUUUCUAAUCUGACCUCAUCUUUCAGAUAGGGAAGGGUAUAUGCUUAUGUCCUGAUACACCUUCCUAGUCUCUGACACGAAUAGAGUGAACUCCUUAUGUGCUAGUCGUACUUCUUCAGGGUUAGGAACCAAUUGUCCAUAAGAUGGCAUGGCAUUUUAUUAUUUGAAGGAGAUAAUUUAUCUUUAUCACUCUAAAGUAUAUUAGAGUAUUGAAGACCUUAAAUUUGUAUUACCUUUUGCUUUUACCUAACUACUUGAGUUUGAAACGUCCAAGGAAGCAAAAUACAUAUGCAUCUUGACUGAAGAUAAGGGAUGUAAAUGCUGUAGUUAGCUAAGUGAGGAGGUACCAAGUUCUAGGCAUUAUUAGUCGAUGCAUAUAUCCACUAUCUCUUCAAGCAUAGCCUUGUGUGGGCUAGUCUUUGACCAGGC
rnacentral:lncRNA from 1 species